rnacentral:lncRNA from 1 species
CAGUGGGGACAGGAAUGGGGACAUGAAUGGGUGUCAGUGGGACAUGAAUGGGGACAGGAGCGGGUGUCAGUGGGGCAGCAGUGGGGACAUGAAUGGGGACAGGAAUGAGUGUCAGUGGGACAUGAAUGGGGACAUGAAUGGGUGUCAAUGGGGACAUGAAUGGGGACAGGAAUGGGGACAGGAAUGGGGACAUAAAUGGGUGUCAGUGGGGACAGGAAGGGGUGUCAAUGGGGACAUCAUUGGGGACAGGAAUGGGUGUCA